UCGGGCCCAAGAUGACACCACCACCACCACCACCACUAGUUUGCACUUGUACAGCAUAAAGACCGAGAAUCCUGUGUAGAUUGCCAGAUUGAGGAAUAAAAUGAGCCAUACUAGAAUAACUAUAGAUGUGUAUUAAAUGAACUGUACAAAAGAAGAGUGUAAGGUUUGUACUGAUUUAGAUAUUUACAGAAAUAAUAGUUGCGAGACAAUAAGAUCAAGUAAAAGAACUUUUUAUUGAACCGGAAAGUUUUUGCUUGGGUUGUCAGGCUCUGUUGACCCUUCCGUCUUUAUGCUUUUCCUUGCUUUAUUUUUUCAGAGUGCAACAGGUUCUGAAAUCUUACAGUCCGUAGUUGAUCACAAAUGAAACAUUGUGGGAAGCCUUGAAGUUUAUUUAUUUUUUGUAAGAUCUGAGAUGCAUUUCAAAGAAGUAUGCAAUUACAUUUGUCCCAGACUAAUUUAAUCUCACCUGAGUGUUUCAUGAGACUCCAACAACAUAGAAUGGAUGUAAGCAAUUGCAUUUGUCCUAGACUUAUUUUGCACUAUCCUCCUGGCAAAGCAUCACCGGCUUUCACAUGUCCAUUAUAGAACUGCAUGAGGCAUAGUUCUUCUGUGUCUGGAAGUGAACACCAGCUGGUAGCAUAAAGAACAUAAAUCCAACAGUGGGCAUUGCAGAAUUACAAGCCUGUAAGUACAAGAUGUAAGCUCAGGAAAACUAGGUAUAGGUUGAAGCAUUGCAAUAAAGUAGCUGUCAAAUGUGACCAGAAGUACUUGUCCUAGCUUGCAUUUGUGUGAUCAGAGACGGAUUUUGGCAACAUAUAUCCACUGCAUGUUUUAGCAACUGUAUACGUGACCCAAAGUGCAAGAUUCAGCAGCAUGCAUCUAUGAGACCAAAAGUGCACAAUAAGUGCAAGAUUCAGCAGCAUGCAUCUAUGAGACCAAAUGUGCACAAUAAUCUUAGAAUCAAACUGAGCAGAAUGCUAUGUCAUCCUGUAGGUGCUAGCUGCAAGGCCCAAACAAUGUGAUUUCCAUUUUUCAGUAUAAAAUAUCAUAUCUGAGACCAAAAGUAUGCCACCCUGUAGGAGAUACCAGCAGUAUAUAUAUAUAUAUAUAUAUAUAUAUAUAUAUAUAUAUAUAUAUAUAUAUAUAUAUAUAUAUAUAUAUAUAUAUAUAUAUAUGACGCGUUUAUUUUACACGCGCGUGUAGUUACUCUCAUCUAUAUAUCUCUAGAUUUAAGGUGUAUAUGACCGAAUGAAAUGUAUAUAGACAAAGUAUAUGAUCAUACUAGACCAUCUAGAGUGAUAUGUAUAUUAAGUAUGCAUGCAUACAUAGAGUAUAUGGCUAUACUUAUUAUAUACAAUAAUAUAGUAGUGGCAUUUUAGUAAUAUAUUUAAAAUAUAAUUUUUUUUGAAAAAUUUUCGCGUGGUAAGAUCUAGAGUAUCUUAAUAUGAGUAUAUAAACAUACUCAAACCGAUAAACAAGUAUGAAUACAUACACAAUAUAGUUUAUUGAAGAUGAGAGUAACUACACGUACGUGUAAAAAUGAAUUUCCAUAUAUAUAUAUAUAUAUAUAUAUAUAUAUGAGACCUAAGGACAGCCUGUAAAAUUAUGAGUAAUCACCAAUCAGGUAACAGCAUGCAGUAACUAAAACCUAAAGAACAGUGGGUUACCACUUGCCAGUAAAUGCAUAAAGUGAUGCUUCAAAUCAACAACCAGUUGUGUGAAGGAUUCCUCCAUCAGAUAAACACAAAAUUUGCAUGUUCAGGUCAUAAGAAUUGUCUUUCAAAAUGAAGAUUAGAAUCGAGCAUAUAAGUGAGGCCACCAUUUUUUAGUUGUAAAUUCCUUGAAUAGUUUUAUUUCGUUUUCAUCGUCUAAUAAAAGUAACGGCAAAAAAAAAUCAAUGAACAGUAAACAGGAAGCUUUUGCCGUCCUUUCUAAAAAAAGAAUUUACUCACCAAUUUGUACACCUCUUGUAUACAUGAAAGAACGCAAACACAAAUAUUUACUCAUACGUACUGUAAUAACUACUCAUGGAUCUAAUGUUGGAAUGCAUUGCAUUUUCAUAUUCUGAACGGUGUGAGAAAAAAGAAGACAAGAACUAAGAACUUCAUUACGCUAAGAGCUGUACCUGUUGAUUUAAUAGUAUAUUUCUACAUAUUAGUUUGCUUGCAUCAGUUAACUUCAACCGUGUCUUUAUGGAGACACUUCCGAAACACAAACAUGGAACUAUGCAAAAGGGGUAAUAUAUGCGCAGUAAGCAGUAACUACUCAGAGGAUAUACUUUCUUCCGCGCUCUCGUGUGUGUGGAGACCAGACAUAUCAGCGGGAAGAACGACGAGCGGCGGUGGUCGAUUCGCGUUUGCCGGCUGCGCGGAGCUUCUGCUGCUCCGAUCCGCUCCACCGCUCCUCCUUGUCGGAGGACGCCGCCGCGUUAGUUU
rnacentral:lncRNA from 1 species